ACCCGCGAGGCUUUGCGGUGGCUGCUUGGCUUGGCGGUGGUCGCUUGGCUUGGCGUGGCAGUGAUCGCUUGGCUUGGCAUUUCUGGCUUGGCGGUCCUCCUUUCGCAGAUUGGAAACCGCGGGCUAUCCUGCUGGGAGGUUGUGGCCGAGGCAGUAGCUCGCUACUGAUGGCCUCCUGGGGUGGAGAAAAGCGGGGAGGGGCUGAGGGGUCUCCGAAGCUGGCAGUCUACGCCACGAGGAAGACCCGUAGCGUCAGGAGCCAGGAGGACCAGUGGUACUUGGGCUACCCGGGGGACCAGUGGUCUUCGGGCUUCUCCUACAGCUGGUGGAAAAAUAGCGUCGGCAGCGAGAGCAAGCACGGUGAGGGCGCCUUAGACCAGCCCCAGCACGACGUCCGCCUGGAAGAUCUUGGCGAGCUCCACAGAGCUGCCCGGUCGGGCGACGUCCCUGGGGUGGAGCACGUCUUGGCUCCUGGAGACACUGGCGUGGACAAGAGGGAUAGGAAGAAGAGGUAAUGGCCAGCAUUCAGCAACUAGUUCCUGAAUAUAAGGAAAAACAGACACCUGAAAGUCUUCCUCAAAAUAACAAUCCAGAUUGGCAUCCUACUAAUUUGACCCUUAGUGAUGAGACUUGUCAGAGAUCCAAGAAUCUGAAAGUUGGUGAUAAAAGUCCAUCUGUAUCACCAUCAAUGCCUGAAAAUCAGUCAGCAACCAAAGAACUGGGACAGAUGAACUUAACAGAACGAGAAAAAAUGGACACUGGAGUUGUACUUCUCUCAGGGAAUGAUACUCUCCAUGACCUGUGCCAAUCACAGCUACCAGAAAACAAAGAGAGCAAAGAAGCAGAACAAGACUUGGAGCUGACAUCAGAGGAAGAGCAAGAAAGACUUAAAGGAUGCGAAAAUAAGCAGCCACAGAAAACGUCUCAAGAACCAGAAAUGGCUAAGGAUUGUGAUAGAGAGGAUAUACCUAUAUAUCCAGUACUUCCUCAUGUGCAAAAAUCUGAGGAAAUGUGGAUUGAACAAGGCAAAUUAGAGUGGAAAAACCAAUUAAAACUCGUCAUAAAUGAGUUAAAGCAGAGGUUUGGUGAAAUUUAUGAAAAAUACAAAAUUCCGGCUUGUCCUGAGGAAGAGCCACUACUUGAUAACUCUACAAGAGGAACAGAUGUGAAGGAUAUUCCCUUUAAUUUGACAAAUAACAUACCUGGUUGUGAGGAAGAAGAUGCAUCUGAAAUAUCUGUCUCAGUGGUAUUCGAGACAUUUCCUGAACAAAAAGAACCCAGUCUCAAAAAUAUCAUCCAUCCAUACUAUCAUCCGUACUCUGGGUCCCAGGAACAUGUUUGCCAGUCAUCUUCUAAGCUUCAUUUACAUGAAAAUAAAUUAGACUGCGACAAUGAUAACAAACUAGGCAUUGGACAUAUUUUUAGUACAGAUAACAACUUUCAUAAUGAUGCAAGCACUAAGAAAGCAAGGAACCCAGAAGUGGUUACGGUUGAAAUGAAAGAAGACCAAGAGUUUGAUUUGCAAAUGACAAAAAAUAUGAACCAAAAUAGUGACAGUGGCAGUACAAAUAACUAUAAAAGCCUGAAACCUAAAUUAGAAAAUCUGAGUUCUUUACCACCAGAUUCUGACAGAACAUCAGAAGUAUAUCUACAUGAAGAAUUACAGCAAGACAUGCAAAAGUUUAAGAAUGAGGUCAACACAUUAGAAGAAGAGUUCCUGGCUUUGAAGAAAGAAAAUGUUCAACUUCAUAAAGAGGUUGAAGAAGAAAUGGAGAAGCACAGAAGUAAUAGCACAGAAUUAUCAGGAACCCUAACUGAUGGUACUACUGUUGGCAAUGAUGAUGAUGGACUAAAUCAGCAGAUUCCUAGGAAGGAAAAUGAAGAGCAUGACAGGCCUGCAGAUAAAACAGCUAAUGAAAAGAACAAGGUCAAAAACCAAAUAUAUCCUGAGGCUGACUUUGCUGACUCAAUGGAGCCAUCUGAAAUAGCCUCAGAGGAUUGUGAAUUGUCUCACUCUGUUUAUGAGAAUUUUAUGUUGCUGAUUGAACAACUUAGAAUGGAGUAUAAAGAUUCUGCUAGCCUACCAAGAAUCCAAGACACAUUUUGUUUGUGUGAACACUUACUGAAACUUAAGAAUAAUCACUGUGACCAACUUACAGUAAAACUUAAACAAAUGGAAAAUAUGGUCAGUGUACUACAAAAUGAGCUAUCUGAAACAAAAAAGACAAAAUUACAGUUAGAACUUCAAAAAAUUGAAUGGGAGAAAGAGCUGUACGAUUUGAGACUUGCCUUAAAACAAGAAAAUGGGAGAAAAGAAAUGCCGAUAUGUUGUAUAAUAAAGAUAGUGAACAGUUAAGAAUAAAAGAAGAGGAGUGUGGGAAAGUGGUUGAAACAAAGCAACAACUUAAAUGGAAUCUGAGAAGACUUGUUAAGGAAUUGAGGACAGUAAGAAAUAACUUGGAUCUGGUUGUGCAGGAGAGAAACGAUGCCCAGAAGCAACUUUCUGAAGAACAGGAUGCCAGAAUAUUACAAGAUCAGAUUCUGACAAGUAAACAAAAGGAACUAGAAAUGGCUCAAAAGAAAAUGAAUUCUGAGAUUUCUCAUAGGCAUCAGAAAGAAAAGCAUCUCUUUCAUGAAAAUUGCAUGUUGCAGGAAGAAAUUGCCUUGCUGAGACUGGAAAUAGAUACAAUAAAAAAUCAGAACAAGCAAAA
ensembl:lncRNA CCDC144BP coiled-coil domain containing 144B, pseudogene